rnacentral:rRNA from 1 species
AUUGAACGCUGGCGGCAGGCUUAACACAUGCAAGUCGAACGAGUGGCGGACGGGAGAGUAAUGCUUGGGAAUCUAGCUUAUGGAGGGGGAUAACUACUGGAAACGGUAGCUAAUACCGCAUACUAUCGGAUGAACCCAUAUGGGAUUAGCUAGUUGGUGAGGUAAAGGCUCACCAAGCCGACGAUCUCUAGCUGGUCUGAGAGGAUGACCAGCCACACUGGGACUGAGACACGGCCCAGACUCCUACGGGAGGCAGCAGUGGGGAAUAUUGCGCAAUGGGGGCAACCUGACGCAGCCAUGCCGCGUGAAUGAAGAAGGCCUUCGGGUUGUAAAGUUCUUUCGGUAGCGAGGCGUUAACUACAGAAGAAGCACCGGCUAACUCCGUGCCAGCCGCCGCGGUAAUUC